rnacentral:rRNA from 1 species
AGAGUUUGAUCCUGGCUCAGAACGAACGCUGGUGGCGUGUCUUAUACAUGCAAGUCGAGCGGUGCAGCAAUGCAUAGCGGCGAACGGGUGAGUAACACGUAAGCAAUCUGCCCCCUACUUGGGAAUAGCCGUGCCAACGCGCGGAUAAUACCGAAUAUCGUGGCGUCCCGCAUGGGACGUUGACGAAAGAUUUAUCGGUAGGGGAUGAGCUUGCGUCUGAUUAGCUAGUUGGCGGGGCAACGGCCCACCAAGGCGACGAUCGGUAGCCGGCCUGAGAGGGCGAUCGGCCACAUUGGGACUGAGAUACGGCCCAGACUCCUACGGGAGGCAGCAGUAGGGAAUAUUGCACAAUGGGGGGAACCCUGAUGCAGCAACGCCACGUGUGGGAAGAAGCAUUUCGGUGUGUAAACCACUGUCGUGAGGGAAUAAUGCUCGGUCUCGGCCGAGUUGAAUGUACCUCGAAAGGAAGCACCGGCAAACUUCGUGCCAGCAGCCGCGGUAAUACGAGGGGUGCAAGCGUUGUUCGGAAUCACUGGGCGUAAAGGGAGCGUAGGCGGAGACGCAAGCAGUCUGUACAAUACCGGGGCCCAACCCCGGACCUGCAGACUGGACUGUGUCUCUUGGAUAGUUCAGGGGCAGGCGGAAUUCCUGGUGUAGCGGUGGAAUGCGUAGAGAUCAGGAAGAACACCGAUGGCGAAGGCAGCCUGCUGGGGACUCAUCGACGCUGAGGCUCGAAAGUGCGGGUAGCAAACAGGAUUAGAUACCCUGGUAGUCCGCACCGUAAACGAUGCAUACUGGGUGUCCGGGGCUCGCCCCGGGUACCGAAGCCAACGCGUUAAGUAUGCCGCCUGGGGAGUACGUACGCAAGUAUGAAACUCAAAGGAAUUGACGGGGGCCCGCACAAGCAGAGGAGCAUGUGGCUUAAUUCGAUGCAACGCGAAGAACCUUACCUGGAUUUGACAUCGUCGGCAAUGCCCUGUGAAAGCAGGGCGGAGGUUAUCCGAUAGACAGGUGCUGCAUGGCUGUCGUCAGUUCGUGCCGUGAGGUGUUUGGUUAAGUCCACCAACGAACGCAACCCCUUUGGUAUGUUGCCAUCAGGUCAAGCUGGGAACUCGUACCAUACUGCCUGUUUACGCAGGAGGAAGGUGGGGAUGACGUCAAGUCAGUAUGGCCCUUACAUCCAGGGCUGCACACGUGCUACAAUGGCCGGUACAGAGGGACGCAAGACCGCAAGGUGGAGCCAAUCCCAGAGAGCCGGCCUCAGUUCAGAUCGGGGUCUGCAACCCGACCCCGUGAAGUCGGAUUUGCUAGUAACGGCGUAUCAGCUACGACGCCGUGAAUGCGUUCCCGGGCCUUGCACUCACCGCCGGUCAAG